CCUACGGGUGGCAGCAGUGGGGAAUAUUGGACAAUGGGGGGAACCCUGAUCCAGCCAUGCCGCGUGUGUGAAGAAGGCCCUCGGGUUGUAAAGCACUUUCAGUGAGGAAGAACGCCUGGUGGUUAAUACCCAUCAGGAAAGACAUCACUCACAGAAGAAGCACCGGCUAACUCCGUGCCAGCAGCCGCGGUAAUACGGAGGGUGCGAGCGUUAAUCGGAAUUACUGGGCGUAAAGCGAGCGUAGGUGGCUUGAUAAGCCGGUUGUGAAAGCCCCGGGCUCAACCUGGGAACGGCAUCCGGAACUGUCAAGCUAGAGUGCAGGAGAGGAAGGUAGAAUUCCCGGUGUAGCGGUGAAAUGCGUAGAGAUCGGGAGGAAUACCAGUGGCGAAGGCGGCCUUCUGGACUGACACUGACACUGAGGUGCGAAAGCGUGGGUAGCAAACAGGAUUAGAUACCCUUGUAGUC
rnacentral:rRNA from 1 species